rnacentral:rRNA from 1 species
GACGAACGCUGGCGGCGUGCUUAACACAUGCAAGUCGAGCGGUAAGGCCCUUUCGGGGGUACACGAGCGGCGAACGGGUGAGUAACACGUGGGUGACCUGCCCUCAGCUCUGGGAUAAGCCUGGGAAACCGGGUCUAAUACCGGAUAUGACUCCAUGACGCAUGUUGUGGGGUGGAAAGCCUUGUGCGGCUGAGGAUGGGCCCGCGGCCUAUCAGCUUGUUGGUGGGGUGAUGGCCUACCAAGGCGACGACGGGUAGCCGGCCUGAGAGGGCGACCGGCCACACUGGGACUGAGACACGGCCCAGACUCCUACGGGAGGCAGCAGGUGGGGAAUCUUGCGCAAUGGGCGAAAGCCUGACGCAGCGACGCCGCGUGAGGGAUGACGGCCUGGUGU